GACGAACGCUGGCGGCGUGCCUAAUACAUGCAAGUCGAGCGAAGGUACGCUGGUGCUUGCUCUAGGAAGAUUGCGCGGCAAGGGGGUGAGAAACACGUAAAGAACCCGUAUCAUAGUGGGGUAAAACCGUGAGAAAGGAUCGCUAAUACCGUAAAACAGUAUUUCUCAUGUUUAAGAUGUGUAAAACUUGGUUGUGGUAACACUUAGAGGUGUCUUUGCGGUGCAUUAGCUAGUUGGUGGGGUAAAGGCACACCAAGGCGACGAUGCAUAGCCGACCUGAGAGGGUGAUCGGCCACACUGGAACUGAGACACGGCCCAGACUCCUACGGGAGGCAGCAGUAGGGAAUCUUCCGCAAUGGGCGAAAGCCUGACGGAGCAACGCCGCGUGAGUGAAGAAGGUCUUCGGUUCGUAAAGCUCUGUUGUUAGGGAAGAACGGAUAUGUAAUAACUAGAGCAGUAAGUGACGGUACCUAAUCAGAAAGCCACGGCUAACUACGUG
rnacentral:rRNA from 1 species